CUAGAGUUGCGCGGUUCAGGUGUCCCGGCGGCGUUACGCUCACGGGAUGAAACGGGAAGCCGGUGCGCUGUGCGCUACGCACUGCAAGGCCGGCGCUGCCCCCGCAACGGUAAGCGAGAUCCACGAACGGCGAAUGCCACUGUGCGAUGCACGGGAAGGCGCCGCUCGCGGCCUGCGGAUCGCCGCAGGCCACUCGCCAGCCCGGAGACCGGCCCGAACGAUUCCUGGUGG
rnacentral:ncRNA from 2 species